rnacentral:lncRNA from 1 species
GGGCAACUGAUUUACAAGGCAAGGAGAGGCCUCUUUAGACGGUGGGUGCUGCUUCCCCCAGGGGUUUUUAAGGUCGUGCCCUAUCCAGAGGAUUUGCCUGGUGGGGCAACAGCAAAUUUGAGUGAUGAAUGGAAGUUCUGUAGUAUUUGGGGCUCAUCCCUUCACAACUCUGACAUAAAUGGGCCUUUCAUUCUUCCCCCAAACACAUAGCAGAGUAGCUGACGUGAUCGAGGAAAUAUGAGCUCAAAGGCCAAAGUAAAUACAGGAGGAAUCAUUUACUGGAAAAGAAAGAUGAGAAACUGGACAAGAAAUCCCAUCUGAAGCGGGACUGUUGGAGAGUCGUGACGAGAGCUUGAAAGUCGCUGGAGUCGAGGACUGGAUACAGGGCCUGCUCACAGCCAGCACUCAGGCUGCAGCCUUGGGCCGGAGGCUGCUCUUAGCACAUUGGAAGAGAGGCGCUGAGAGGAGGAACCAGAGUCCCCUAGGCAGGUCUGCGUGUGCACAGCCCUCCACAGUGUACACUGCCCGCUGCCUCCCUCCGCCGCCGUGGACAGGCUGCUGCGGCCGGUUGUGCCCGUCUCGCAGGCGAGUGGAGGCUCAGGGUCUGCAGAGAAUAAACCACCAGAGGAAGGGCUUGAUUCCGAGGCGGUUCCCACACAGCGUUCUUGAGUCCGCGGGAGCCCACCAGGAGCCCACCAGGAGCCCACCAGGAG